AUUGAACGCUGGCGGCAGGCCUAACACAUGCAAGUCGAGCGGAUGAAGGGAGCUUGCUCCUGGAUUCAGCGGCGGACGGGUGAGUAAUGCCUAGGAAUCUGCCUGGUAGUGGGGGAUAACGUCCGGAAACGGGCGCUAAUACCGCAUACGUCCUGAGGGAGAAAGUGGGGGAUCUUCGGACCUCACGCUAUCAGAUGAGCCUAGGUCGGAUUAGCUAGUUGGUGGGGUAAAGGCCUACCAAGGCGACGAUCCGUAACUGGUCUGAGAGGAUGAUCAGUCACACUGGAACUGAGACACGGUCCAGACUCCUACGGGAGGCAGCAGUGGGGAAUAUUGGACAAUGGGCGAAAGCCUGAUCCAGCCAUGCCGCGUGUGUGAAGAAGGUCUUCGGAUUGUAAAGCACUUUAAGUUGGGAGGAAGGGCAGUAAGUCAAUACCUUGCUGUUUUGACGUGACCAACAGAAUAAGCACCGGCUAACUUCGU
rnacentral:rRNA from 1 species